UACGUAGGGGGCUAGCGUUGUCCGGAUUUAUUGGGCGUAAAGAGCUCGUAGGCGGUUUGUCGCGUCGGCCGUGAAAUCUCCACGCUUAACGUGGAGCGUGCGGUCGAUACGGGCAGACUUGAGUUCGGUAGGGGAGACUGGAAUUCCUGGUGUAGCGGUGAAAUGCGCAGAUAUCAGGAGGAACACCGAUGGCGAAGGCAGGUCUCUGGGCCACUACUGACGCUGAGAAGCGAAAGCAUGGGGAGCGAACAGG
rnacentral:rRNA from 1 species